CCGUUACAAAUACGCGUAAAAAAAAUACGCGUCAAAAAUACGCGUAGAAAUACCCGGUAAUCCAGUAUCGCCUAUAAAAUAGUAGAAGCACAUUACUCUCUUCUCACUUGGCUUCAUUUACUCGCUCUCACACUUCCAUCGCUCUCCAUCUCUAAAUCUUCUCUCUCCUUCCGAUUUCGCAAUCCGUCGAAAACCCUAGUUCCGUCAUCGCUCUCGAUCUUUCAAGAUGCAAGCUUCGCGACCCUUGAACAAUUUUCACUACCGCAUUUCCGUCUCCGACAAAGAUCCGGCCGAGCCCAGCCGGAAAAGAAAGGUCCGGGAGGAUUAUCACAUGAGGGUCACGGUGUCCUGGGACGUGAUGCGAACCUGCUACUGCUCCGACGAUCCCACCAGGCCGAUCGUUGAUCUCGAUUUCGAAACCGCCACUUUUCGCGAUCUGGAAUAUCGGCUCUUCACCGUCAUCGACGACGACGACGUCGGCGUCGUAGACAACAUGAUAACCCGAAUUGGGCGUGUUGUUUAUGGAGGCGUGCCGUUUGAUGAGGUUAAUGAGAUGGUGCACCGAAUACGGCGUGUCGUCGAUGAAGCUUUUCGGUCUGGGCGACCAAAGGAGAAGCUGGAUGUAACGGUGACGGUGAAAAACGAAACUGGGUUGCCACUCGAGGAGUACGAAGCACUGCUUUGGGCAAGCAAGAGUCAACGUCAUUUAGGAUUAGGCUGA
rnacentral:lncRNA from 1 species